rnacentral:rRNA from 1 species
AACGCGAAGAACCUUACCUGGCCUUGACAUCUACGGAACCCUGCAGAGAUGCGGGGGUGCCUUCGGGAGCCGUAAGACAGGUGCUGCAUGGCUGUCGUCAGCUCGUGUCGUGAGAUGUUGGGUUAAGUCCCGCAACGAGCGCAACCCUUGUCCUUAGUUGCCAUCAUUAAGUUGGGAACUCUAAGGAGACCGCCGGUGACAAACCGGAGGAAGGUGGGGAUGACGUCAAGUCAUCAUGGCCUUUAUGGCCAGGGCUACACACGUGCUACAAUGGCAGGUACAGAGGGAAGCCAACGCGCGAGCGGGAGCCAAUCCCAGAAAGCCUGUCGUAGUCCGGAUCGGAGUCUGCAACUCGACUCCGUGAAGUCGGAAUCGCUAGUAAUCGCAGAUCAGCAUUGCUGCGGUGAAUACGUUCCCGGGCCUUGUA